AUCGCUUCUCAGGUUUUUGAAUUAGAUCAAGUGUAGUAUCUAUUCUUAUCAGUUUAAUAUCUGAUACAUCCUCUUUAUGAGGACUUCAUAUUAAUUAAACAGAUUUUUAGAGAUGGGCAUCAGAAAAGGGGCUUGCACCAUCCACUCCAUGUAUCAACCUGGUGUUGCAGUUGCAGUACUAAUACAGUACAG